rnacentral:rRNA from 1 species
UACAGAGGUGGCAAGCGUUGUUCGGAAUUACUGGGCGUAAAGGGCGCGUAGGCGGUUCGUUAAGUCCUGUGUGAAAUCCCCCGGCUCAACUGGGGAACUGCACAGGAAACUAGCGGGCUUGAGUUCGGGAGAGGGAAGCGGAAUUCCGGGUGUAGCGGUGAAAUGCGUAGAUAUCCGGAGGAACACCGGUGCGAAGGCGGCUUCCUGGACCGAGCACUGACGCUGAGGCGCGAAAGCUAGGGGAGCAAACGGG